AGCAGUAGCCACGGUAAUACAGAGGGUGCGAGCGUUAAUCGGAUUUACUGGGCGUAAAGCGUGCGUAGGCGGCUUCUUAAGUCGGAUGUGAAAUCCCUGAGCUUAACUUAGGAAUUGCAUUCGAUACUGUGAAGCUAGAGUAUGGGAGAGGAUGGUAGAAUUCCAGGUGUAGCGGUGAAAUGCGUAGAGAUCUGGAGGAAUACCGAUGGCGAAGGCAGCCAUCUGGCCUAAUACUGACGCUGAGGUACGAAAGCAUGGGGAGCAAACAGGAUUAGAUACCCCGGUAGUCCCUGUCUCUUAUAC
rnacentral:rRNA from 1 species